rnacentral:rRNA from 1 species
GAACUGAAGAGUUUGAUCCUGGCUCAGAUUGAACGCUGGCGGCAUGCUUUACACAUGCAAGUCGAACGGCAGCGCGGGGCAACCUGGCGGCGAGUGGCGAACGGGUGAGUAAUAUA